CAAGUGUGGUAUGGGUUAAUAACUUAAUACGGUGCUUCUCGCAAUUACAGCGCCUUUCACCAGAUCUGGUUGUCUUCUUUUAUGUAGUUGAUAUUGUUGGCCGAGCAAGUCAUAUUUUUCAGGCGGAGAAAAUAAUAAAAGAAAUGCCCAUGCAACCAGAUUAUGUGGUGUGGAGUGCAUUUCUUGGAGCAUGCUGCAAACAUCGUGAAUCUGGGCUCGCCCAAAUAGCUGCAUCUCAGUUGAAAGAGUUAGAUCCAGAAAAUUCAUUAGGAUAUAUACUCAUGUCUAAUGUAUACUGCUCAAACCAUAGCUUCAAUGAAGCAGGUCAUAUUAGGAAGCAAAUGAGAGGGCUUGGUGUUACAAAGCAGCCUGGGUUGAGUUGGGCAGAUCUUGGUUAAAGGAGUUUGAUCUAGAAAAGUCAUGAGGAUAUGUACUCAUGUGAAAUGUAUACUGCUCAGCCCAUAGCUGCGAUGAAACAGGUCAUCUAACAAAGCAAAUGAGAGGGCUUGGUGUUACAAAGCAGCGUGGAUUGAGUUGGACAGAUCUUGAUUGAAGGAGUUUGAUCCAGAAAAGUCAUGAGGAUAUGUACUCAUGUGAAAUGUAUACAUCUUAGCCCAUAGCUGAGAUGAAACAGGUCAUCUUAGGAAGCAAAUGAGAGGGCUUGGUGUUACAAAGCAGCCUGCAUUGAGUUGGACAGAUCUUGAUUGAAGGAGUUUGAUCCAGAAAAGUCAUGAGGAUAUGUGCUCAUGUGAAAUGUAUACUGCCCAGCCCAAUGCAACAUGUCAUCUAAGGAAGCAAAUGAGAGAGCUUGGUGUUACAAAGCAGCCUGGAUUAAGCCGUUGGGGGUUUGGUGCAUGAGUUUGCUUCCGGAGGCUUGCAACAUCCGGACAGGAGAGAUAUAGACUAAUAUGGAGUUCUGUGUGAAAGACCGAAACAUAUUGGUUACAGUAUCACAGCAACAAUAAUAUACCUAGUGUGAUCCCACAAGUGAGGUCUGAGGAGGGUUGAGUGUACGCAAGACCAAUCCUCCGUAGUUGAAGCUGCACCGAGAACAGGGACCAACUUCUCAAUGAAAGAGGUUAGAUGUGGCAUAUCAGCUGCCGUCCCUCAAAGAAAGGGAAUCAAUGAAUCCAAAGCAAGGUGCGGGGAAGUCUUGGUUGAAGGCAAAAUUUGGUCACGAUUUUUUAAGAAAACAAAAGCAGGUUAGGAAGUCUUGCUUACUCAUUUCUCCAUCUAAGUAAGAGAAGACCUUAGUGCCACCUAGUGCGAGGUAGAGAGUUCCUGGUAGACCUUCGUCUCAAGAAAAGCAUUUUCAGAAACAGGUUUGAAAGAUAAAAAAGUGAAGAAGCGCCCAAUGAAACUCCUGGAAAGUAGCAUGACAUACAAAAUACAGAAACAAGGAAAAACUUGUGACCAUACAAAAUGCAUAAAAGAGGCACACUUCAUGUCCGGAUUGUGCACACUUGAAACGGCAAGGACUAUGAUAAAUUCUGGUAAUAUUAAUUCAUUUCCUCUCUAUGGCUUUCUAGCACAGAUACUAUAUUUUGAGAAUAACUAGGCAUUGUUGAAUUGAGUGCAGCACCCAAGAUUGAAUAUCCAAAUGAUUUCAUAGCAUUCAUUAUCCUUGUUUCUGUAUUUUGAUUACAUUGGUCAAUAUUUUAUAGUAUUAGCUGGCUUAUGGACCUCCAAAAUAGGGUACAUUUGUUUCGAAAAGAUUCUGAAUCGCUACAUGUAUUAAACUAUGAACCAUUUUAUCCUGCCUUGUAAUUGAUUGUUUGAUUAAUUGUGAACUGAUGAAUAUUUUCAAUUUCUCAUCUUUUACAGAA